UAAUACGUAGGGUGCGAGCGUUGUCCGGAAUUACUGGGCGUAAAGAGCUCGUAGGUGGUUUGUCGCGUCGUCUGUGAAAUUCCGGGGCUCAACUCCGGGCGUGCAGGCGAUACGGGCAUAACUUGAGUGCUGUAGGGGAGACUGGAAUUCCUGGUGUAGCGGUGAAAUGCGCAGAUAUCAGGAGGAACACCGAUGGCGAAGGCAGGUCUCUGGGCAGUAACUGACGCUGAGGAGCGAAAGCAUGGGUAGCGAACAGGAUUAGAUACCCUGGUAGUCCAUGCCGUAAACGGUGGGCGCUAGGUGUGGGGGUCUUCCACGACUUCUGUGCCGUAGCUAACGCAUUAAGCGCCCCGCCUGGGGAGUACGGCCGCAAGGCUAAAACUCAAAGGAAUUGACGGGGGCCCGCACAAGCGGCGGAGCAUGUGGAUUAAUUCGAUGCAACGCGAAGAACCUUACCUGGGCUUGACAUGUACCGGAUCGGCGCAGAGAUGUGUCUUCCCUUGUGGUCGGUAUACAGGUGGUGCAUGGUUGUCGUCAGCUCGUGUCGUGAGAUGUUGGGUUAAGUCCCGCAACGAGCGCAACCCUUGUCCUGUGUUGCCAGCACGUUGUGGUGGGGACUCACGGGAGACUGCCGGGGUUAACUCGGAGGAAGGUGGGGAUGACGUCAAAUCAUCAUGCCCCUUAUGUCCAGGGCUUCACACAUGCUACAAUGGUCGGUACAGUGGGUUGCUACACCGUGAGGUGGUGCUAAUCUCUUAAAGCCGGUCUCAGUUCGGAUUGGAGUCUGCAACUCGACUCCAUGAAGUCGGAGUCGCUAGUAAUCGCAGAUCAGCAAUGCUGCGGUGAAUACGUUCCCGGGCCUU
rnacentral:rRNA from 1 species